CUACUGAGAUGCCACUUUGAAAUUUUUCUGAACUCUAAGAGUCCAAAGAACUGUUUGAGUAUUUACUUUCAGCCCUGUUGCAGUACUGAGAUAGACAGGCAAACUCUAUGCCAAGAACUACAAGACCCGAUGCAGCUUCAAUUCAUCAUAGGGUCUGAAGACAUCGGCACUUUCACUUUUGUAUGAAAAUGCACUGGAAUUACAGACAGGGGCCACCACGUCUGUUGGUGCACCACAAUCACCAAAUGUCAGGAUUCACACAUGUUAAACAAGCAGUGCCCACACUGAUAGCCACAUAGUCAGCUCCUGAAGGACAGGUCUCCAAAAAGACAGAUCUCCAAAAGGACAAGUCUUUGAUAUCUUCCUUUCAUCACCUGAGUGAAGAAAAAUCGACAAAUGGCCUUAUAUACCUGGAUGACGUAGAACACGUGGUUCGAUGAGUAAGUGUUCAACCCGCUGACUUGAAACCAGGCCCAGGUGACAUACAUCCAAGCCUUUUAACAGGCAGAAAUAAACGGCACAUUUUCCAACCA